rnacentral:rRNA from 1 species
AACGCUAGCUACAGGCUUAACACAUGCAAGUCGAGGGGNAANCGACAUUGGAAGCUUGCUUCCGAUGGGCGUCGACCGGCGCACGGGUGAGUAACGCGUAUCCAACCUGCCCACCACUUGGGAAUAACCUUGCGAAAGUAAGACUAAUGCCCAAUGACGUUGAAAGAAGACAUCUGAUUUCAACUAAAGAUUCAUCGGUGAUGGAUGGGGAUGCGUCCGAUUAGCUUGUUGGCGGGGUAACGGCCCACCAAGGCAACGAUCGGUAGGGGUUCUGAGAGGAAGGUCCCCCACAUUGGAACUGAGACACGGUCCAAACUCCUACGGGAGGCAGCAGUGAGGAAUAUUGGUCAAUGGGCGAGAGCCUGAACCAGCCAAGUAGCGUGCAGGAUGACGGCCCUAUGGGUUGUAAACUGCUUUUAUAAGGGAAUAAAGUGGGGCUCGUGAGCUCCUUUGCAUGUACCUUAUGAAUAAGGACCGGCUAAUUCCGUGCCAGCAGCCGCGGUAAUACGGAAGGUCCGGGCGUUAUCCGGAUUUAUUGGGUUUAAAGGGAGCGUAGGCCGCAGGUUAAGCGUGUUGUGAAAUGUAGGGGCUCAACCUCUGCACUGCAGCGCGAACUGGCUUGCUUGAGUACGCACAACGUGGGCGGAAUUCGUGGUGUAGCGGUGAAAUGCUUAGAUAUCACGAAGAACUCCGAUUG